rnacentral:rRNA from 1 species
CCUACGGGAGGCAGCAGUGAGGAAUAUUGGUCAAUGGCCGGAAGCCUGAACCAGCCAAGUCGCGUGAGGGAUGACUGCCCUAUGGGUUGUAAACUUCUUUUAUAAAGGAAUAAAACGAGGCACGUGUGCCUUUUUGCAUGUACUUUAUGAAUAAGCAUCGGCUAACUCCGUGCCAGCAGCCGCGGUAAUACGGAGGAUCCGAGCGUUAUCCGGAUUUAUUGGGUUUAAAGGGAGCGUAGUGGGGUUGUUAAGUCAGGUGUGAAAGUUCGGGGCACAAACGUAAAACUGCCGUUGAUACUGGCAGUCUCGAGUAGGAGAGAGGUAGGCGGAAUGCGCGGUGUAGCGGUGAAAUGCAUAGAUAUCGCGAAGAACGCCGAUUGCGAAGGCAGCAUACUA